UGGGGAAUAUUGGACAAUGGGCGCAAGCCUGAUCCAGCCAUGCCGCGUGUGUGAAGAAGGCCUUUUGGUUGUAAAGCACUUUAAGCGAGGAGGAGGCUACUUGGAUUAAUACUCUAGGAUAGUGGACGUUACUCGCAGAAUAAGCACCGGCUAACUCUGUGCCAGCAGCCGCGGUAAUACAGGGGGUGCGAGCGUUAAUCGGAUUUACUGGGCGUAAAGCGUGCGUAGGCGGCUUCUUAAGUCGGAUGUGAAAUCCCUGAGCUUAACUUAGGAAUUGCAUUCGAUACUGGGAAGCUAGAGUAUGGGAGAGGAUGGUAGAAUUCCAGGUGUAGCGGUGAAAUGCGUAGAGAUCUGGAGGAAUACCGAUGGCGAAGGCAGCCAUCUGGCCUAAUACUGACGCUGAGGUACGAAAGCAUGGGGAGCAAACAGG
rnacentral:rRNA from 1 species